rnacentral:rRNA from 1 species
CCCGCUGAACUUAAGCAUAUCAAUAAGCGGAGGAAAAGAAACUAACAAGGAUUCCCUUAGUAACGGCGAGUGAAGAGGGAUGAGUCCAUAGCUUAAAUCCAAUCCUAUAUGUAGGAUGGAGUUGUACUAUGAAGUUAUUUAUUCGGUUCAAGCCUGGGUAUAAAUCCUUUGGGAUAGGGUAUCAUAGAGGGUGAGAAUCCCGUCUUUGACCCAGGGCAUUGAAGCAUGUGAUAAAAUUAACAAAGAGUAGAGUUGUUUGGGAUUGCAGCUCGAAUUGGGAGGUAGUUUUCUCCCAAGGCUAAAUAUGGGCGAGAGACCGAUAGCGAACAAGUACCGUGAGGGAAAGAUGAAAAGAACUUUGAAAAGAGAGUUAAACAGUGCGUGAAAUUGUUGAAAGGGAAACGUUUGAGACCAGUCUAUGUAGGUAUGGUAAUCAGGGUGAGUGAAAGCCGUUUUGGGCGAUUACCACCUGCACUUAUCUGCCUACAGGUCAACAUCAGUUUUACUUGUUGGAAAAAUCUUGUUGGAAUGUGACGAUUGCCCUCACGGGUGUCGUGUUAUAGAUGACAAGAUAUACAAUGGUUGGGACUGAGGAUUGCAGCGCGAAUCUCUUCGGAGGUUGGGUACGUCGGUUGAUAUGAUGGUCGUUUGUAGGGUAUGUUCUGUCUUAAACACAGGACGACUCUCUGCGAUCCAUAUUAGUCGGAUGUUUACACUAUUCUGCGCUUAGGAUGUUGACAUAAUGGUCUUAAACGACCCGUCUUGAAACACGG